rnacentral:rRNA from 1 species
AAACCGUUGAAAGGGAAGCGAAUGGAGUUAGCAAUUCGCCUUGUCAGACUCAGCCGCUCGCAAGAAGCGACGUGCGCGUUCUCGAUCCCUAUAGACGAGGCGCGUGUGGGUGCGACUUGUGGACGGCGCACUUCUGGCAGGCGAGCGUCAGCGUCGGUUGUGGACGGGCAAGAAGGUUGCGAGGAAGGUGGAUCGGCUUUACGGCCGGUUGUUAAGCCUCGUGCUCGUACGGCCCGACAACGACUGUGGCUCUUGGAGGCGACGCGUGCCUGGCUGGCGACUCACUCGAUCGGUCCGACAUGUCGACUGUGGCGGACGGCACGCCUGUGCGCUCGAACUGCUGCCGGUCGAUCGGAUGAUGUUCGCACACUACGCGUCGAAGAUGCUGACGACCAUACGGCUCCAUCCGACCCGUCUUGAAACACGGACCAAGGAGUCUAACAUGUGCGCGAGUCUCCGGGUGAUAGAAACCCGUGGGCACAAUGAAAGUAAAGAUCGUCCCAGACGAUUGAGGUGAGAAGCCGGUGCCACGCGCACAGGCCGCAUCAUCGACCGACCUAUUCUGCUCUCAGAAAGGUUUGAGUAAGAGCGUAUCUGUUGGGACCCGAAAGAUGGUGAACUAUGCCUGAAUAGGGUGAAGCCAGCGGAAACACUG